rnacentral:rRNA from 1 species
AAACUUUCAACAACGGAUCUCUUGGUUCUCGCAUCGAUGAAGAACGCAGCGAAACGCGAUAGUUAAUGUGAAUUGCAGAAUUCAGUGAAUCAUCGAGUCUUUGAACGCACAUUGCACCUUUUGGUAUUCCGAAAGGUAUGUCUGUUUGAGCGUCAUU